rnacentral:tRNA from 1 species
GCCCGGAUGGCGGAAUAGGUAGACGCCAGGGACUUAAAAUCCCUUGUUCGUAAGAGCGUACCGGUUCAAAUCCGGUUCCGGGUA